GAUGAACGCUGGCGGCGUGCCUAAUACAUGCAAGUCGAGCGAACGGACGAGAAGCUUGCUUUUCUGAUGUUAGCGGCGGACGGGUGAGUAACACGUGGAUAACCUACCUAUAAGACUGGGAUAACUUCGGGAAACCGGAGCUAAUACCGGAUAAUAUUUUGAACCGCAUGGUUCAAAAGUGAAAGACGGUCUUGCUGUCACUUAUAGAUGGAUCCGCGCUGCAUUAGCUAGUUGGUAAGGUAACGGCUUACCAAGGCAACGAUGCAUAGCCGACCUGAGAGGGUGAUAGGCCACACUGGAACUGAGACACGGUCCAGACUCCUACGGGAGGCAGCAGUAGGGAAUCUUCCGCAGUGGGCGAAAGCCUGACGGAGCAACGCCGCGUGAGUGAUGAAGGUCUUCGGAUCGGAAAACUCUGUUAUGAGGGAAGAACAUAUGUGUAAGUAACUGUGCACAUCUUGACGGUACCUAAUCAGAAAGCCACGGCUAACUACGUG
rnacentral:rRNA from 1 species